rnacentral:misc_RNA from 1 species
AUCUUUGCCAUUACGAGUAUAUUGUAAGUUAUUAGUACGUCGCAAAUAACGAUCGAAACACUGGUCAUUAUGAAUAGAAAUCACAAAAAAAAAUUAACUUCAAAACAAUCGGCCAAAUAGCUUUUGAGAUUUUUGCGGACAAACAAACGCUUUUGUUUUACAUUAUUUUGUGAAUUAUUCAUUCAACAUAACAAGCAGUUUUAGUGAUGAAGAUGGUCAUCAAUAUGUCCCAUCACCAAUGAAAAAACAUAAAAUGGGAAACGUGAACAAGUCACAUUCAUCGUUCAUCGUACACAAGAGAUGGACGACUCAGAGCCUACCAAUGAUGUAGAAAUCAAGAAUCACAAAUUCGGGAUAACUUUAGAGCCAGUCAUGAUGUUAAUAAAUAUCGGAAUACAUGCAAACCUGAUGGUGCAAGCUAAUUUAUUCGAAGAACGUGUAUGCCUUCAUAGUGAUCUCGGACAAAAUAAGUCUGUGAAUUGUUACAAUAUUACUGCAGCAGAACAAGAAAUAAUUCAGCCAGCUGCGACAAAUUUUUUAAUGUUUAAAAAUCUGAUAGAAACAUUUGUGCCAUGUCUAAUGACAUUAUUUUUAGGUGCCUGGAGUGAUGUAAACGGUCGUAAACCUUUGUUAUUAUCAGCUAUCUCAGGUAUAGUUAUAUCUAACUGUAUGUUCAGUGUAUUUUCUACAAUACCAAGCCUGUCUCCUGUAAUGUUUUUGCUGUGCAGCCUACCGGUUGCUGUAAGUGGUGGAACUGGUGUAUUGUAUUUAGCUGCAUUUUGUUAUAUUGUUGAUGUCAUCGAUAACAAAUCAAGAGCUUUCAGGAUUGUUGUUUUGUACACAUUUAUCGAUUUUGGAUCAAUACUUGGAUCUGUAUUGAGUACAAUAUUGUAUAGUAGCUCUACUACUUACGUUUAUUGCCUUUCAUCGUUUGUUUCGAUAGCUGGACUUCUGUAUACAUAUAUUUUUCUUAAGGAAUCAGUAGUCAUUAAAAUGGGAGCGAAUACAAAACUUUUUAACAUCCAACUAAUAAGAGAUUUGUGGCAAACUGUUAUGAAACAACGAUUAGGUUACUUGAGAUGCAUAAUUAUACUGUCUGCAGUGUCGUUAGCUCUUAAUUUAAUUGUUAUGUUUGGUGAAGGAACGUAUAUGUACAUGUACUUACAGAAACAAUUUUCGUGGACGUUGGAAAAAUUUUUACCGUUUCGUGCGUAUAUGACACUAUUGCAUGCCAUUGUUCCCGCAAUCGUUGUAUACGUGCUCAACGCCAAACUACAAAUUCCUGAAAUGUAUAUUGUUACCGCUGUUACAGCCGUAGGAAUUUUUGAAAAGAUUUAUUUCGCGUACUCGAUAUACGAAUGGCAAUUAUACGCCGUGGAAGCUGUUGGAAGCACUGUGUAUGCAACACAAACGUUGAUACGAUCUCAAUUAUCUAAAAGUUUUCCCUCCGAAGAAAUAGGUCAAUAUUAUAGCUAUUUAUUUGUAAAAUAUUAACAUUCAUAAGUCUGGUUGAAUCUCAUGGAAUAUUACUAUACUCACCGAUAUACAACACGAUCUACGCUGCAACAGUCCAGAAUUUCGCCAAUUGUAUAUUUUUCUUUUCGGCAAUACUUGGCAUAUUUAUGCUUUGCUUAUUCGGAAUAAUAUUAUUCUUACUUUCAAGAAGCACCAAAACUGAUGAUUUUUUAAUCGAAAACUAAUUUUAACCGCCGCAACAACAAUCAUUUUAUGUAGGUAUAUAAAUUAAUUGUUUUUUUUCUUGCAUUGAGAACUACAAUACCCAUCAUAUCUUACUUUUUUUAAUUGAAUAAAAUGUUAUCGGCGUACCUACACUACUACCAACUACACUGUCUACACUAUA